UCCUUCUUGUGUGAUGGAUAGUGUCUAUCCAUCAUGCCUCCAAGAGACAAGGCCUUCUGAGUCUAGAGGGAAACUUCUGGAAAAUGAUCCAAGGAUCACCCGCCUCGGUGCAGGCUCUCUCCCGAUCUCUGGCUGCUAGGGAACAAUCAGGGGCAGCCUUGGGUAUGUAUGUGUACCCCUAAGUGAACAUGUGUGCGAAGGUCAAAGAUCAGUGCUCCGUGUCUUCGUCAUUCUCCACCCUGUAUUUUGAAACAAGGUCCCUUGCUGAAACUAGAGCUCACCGACUUAGCGAGAUUGGCUGGCCAGUGAGCCAGUCUCCUGUCUCUACCCACGUCGGCGUGCCUAGCUUUUCUAUGGGUGCUGGGGUCUGAACUCAAGAUCUCGUGUUUAUGUGGCAAGCACCUCACUGACUUAGCCAUCCUCCGGUCGGUCAGUCCCCUUUGUUUCAUGUAGCCCGGGCUCACUAAGUCAUCAAGGGCAACCUUGACCUUCCUGUUGCCGUGUUCAGCUUAGGUCACAGACUGUUCACUGUGGCUCCCAAGACUUUCACUAAGCACAAGUAGCCCAAUUGCCAACACAGCCCAUCUCUCCAAGCUCCUGUCUACCCUCCCUGCUGGAUUUCCUUAAAUACGGCUCUGCCUCUUCCAGAUAUCACCGGACUGAAGACAUUGAGAAGAAGAUUCUAGCGAGAUCCCUGCACUCUUAUUUGCUUAAUAGCAGCAUAAAGAUCUACAGAGACAAAAGCAUUCUGCCCGCUUUCCUGCCAGACAGAACCCGAGGAUGCCUUCUUUCUUCCUGGAAAUGGACCAGAGGAGUUCUACCUUCCUAAAGCAUGCUGGCGUGCCUAUAAUCACAGCACUCAGGAGGCUGAUGGAGGAAUAUCUGGGUUAGAGUUUAGUCUGGGCUCUAUCAAAGGAGUCUCAUCUCAAAAAGUACAGAAAUAACCAGCCUUACCAACUAGCUGUUGUUGGCCUUUUAUUUGCCCACCUCUAUCCCCGUGCUGACGCCAUGAGUGUCUCAAUGUCCUUCUUCUUUGUCUUGUGACUUCUCCAGAAUUGGAGUGUUGAAGAUGCUGUGUAAACCGGAAUUGCAAGACAUCUGUUUAGGAACCACUUAACUUCCAGGUGUCUCUAAUGUGUAUGUGAACUAUACACAUUAGCGAACUUUCUCUCUCUCUCUCUCUCUCUCUCUCUCUCUCUCUCUCUCUCUCUCCCUCCCUCUCUCCCUCCCUCCCUCUCAUGACUCUGCCUUUUGUUAAAGGUGUUCCAUCAAGCCAAGACCCAUGGGAGUUAAUCUUCUCUGACACCUUGGGGCACUGUUUUUUUUCUUCCCCUUGCCCGACAUCUGCAGCCUCAGCCUCCAUCUUUCAGAGCCUGCUCUGCUACACCCCUGCCCCCCAGCACUCUGCAGGGCCCAGCUAUAGCAAUGGUGGAUGACAUCCUCUCAUGAGCUCAGCAGUCACACAUUCUCUAAGGUGAAAUACAGAGCUUGUCCCCAUUCCAAAGACAGAAUUUGUGACAUUAUUUUGGCAUUGUCAAGGCCAACAACCUCAGCCACCCACAUCCUUGGUGAUGAUAAACAUUUCUUUACUGGGAUGAAAUUUUGUCUCUGCCGCUGUUUGAUGCUUCAUAAUUGGCCAACAAAUCUUUGUGGGGUUGAUUUGAGUGAGCCAUAAGGUAAGAUUUGCAUCAGGGAGGUAUUUAUUACUAAAUUAUUUACAAGAGAUAGCAGAGAGCUGAAGUUAUAAAUGACAACUGGCAGCCUGGCCGAUGGCCCGUGUGUCCCAGCUUCCUGUGACAGCAGCAGCCUCUAAGCCGUAUUACAGAGCCAGGCCACACUGGCUGCCUGUACCACAGAAAUCGAGUAUAAGGACAGGGAGGCUCCGUGAAGCCCUGAGCUGCCGUGGGUCUAGAAGGGAAGCAAGCAUUUCAGUUGGAUGUUGACCCCGGUGUGCUAUUUCCCCAGUAUUUCCUCUCAUCAGCCUCAUGAUGGAAUCAUUAAGGACUGUUUUAAAUUUAGACCGUGUUUUCCACCUGGGCAGUUUUGAGGUUUACUAACCAGUAAGUUGAUAGCUUGGGAAUGUGUUCUAAUAACUUUCCUUUUGCAAAUGAAAGAAAAUGACCCUCAAAGAACUAGGAAUUUUCUGGACAACUGCACAGUUGUCAAAACAGGACUGAAAUCUGAGAUAGACUUGACUCCCAGAUGCAGCAAAGUCACAGCUCAAAAGGCUAAGGGCCAUUGCCCAUGUGAUGAUGGACAGCUUAGUGCUGUGGUCCACAUGGCAGAUUCUCCGGUCUUACCUCUCCUCUGAGGCUAUCUGCAGAGAUGGAGGCUCUGAGGAGGGCAGUGGUCCCUAGAGGGGCAGCGUACCGAUGUGUACUUGAGCUCCUCUUGUGAGCUCACCUACUUGUCAGGCCCGCAAACAAACACCCAGGGUGGCCUUCCUAUUGCCAGUCAGGUUUUAGGGGAGGAAAACCAAGGAAAGCCAAACACCCACCCACCUGUCCUAGGAGAAGGAAGACUGAAGGUGACUCCUAAAGUCCCUUUGCCAGCCUCAAGCCUCCUCCUGCUCUUUGGUCAACUCUCAGCCAGUUCUAGUGACCUAAUGACUUCUCUAUCAGGCACAAUGGCAGUGACAGACCCAGCAAAAUGGCUUUUAAAUGCCACCUCCUGGCUAAGGUGACCUCUCUCUAGCAAACAUCACAUGAAGUUUUGUUUUGUUUUUUAAGUCUUUCUUAAACACUGCAGUGUAUCCCAGCACCCAGGGUGUGUAUCAUGGAAGAAACCAGAGUUGACAUCUUUGGGGUUCUGUUUCAGGCCAUUAACUUAAUAGGCCUAAUUCUUGGAAGCUCUGCUAAGUAGGAGACCUGCCCUGUUAUGUAAACAUAGUCAUCAGCCUGAGGAAAAAAAAAGCGCAUAGUGUUUUCUGAGUAAUGGUCACUUAAAGGAAUUCUGUGUGUUUUCCCAUCUGAUUACUGAUUGUUCUGGAAUAUUCUCUGGGAUCUUUGGAGGGGAGGGAGGGUAACAGUUUCCAAGCAGCUUUCCGAACCACAGAAUUUGCUUUGCUCUCAGUGAUCUUGGGUGUGAUUUCAGGCUGUCGCUGCUGAGAAAGAUGUCAGUGGCAGAGAAGGCCACCAGAGCAGAGCGGUCUCCCGGUCUCCUGCUACCCUCAGAGCGCUCCACACAUGAACGCCAGGGGAACCAAGUCCUUAGUGCAAAGCAAAAGAGAGGAAGAGCCCAUUAUUCUUUUGCCUCGAAGGAGAUGGUCUGCAGUGCAUCUUGCCAACAGCGGAGCUUACCAGGCGCCUAUCUCCCUUUCCCCGCCAAUCCUCACCUGGAGACCAGGCAAGGGUGCAGCACCACCAAUUACUCCAAGCGUGGCGAAGACAAGCAGGCAGCUAAUUGAAUUUGAUUCACUGAGAUGGCAACCAAUUUUACGCCAGAGCUGAGCCUCUCAGUGAACCUACUGCUCGCUGGAGUAGACUGGUUGCCAGAAUGUUCCAGGUCCACCCUUCUCUGCCUUCUUCCAGAGCUGGAGUCCCAGCACUCUGCUCCACUUCCAACUACAAGCAGAUGCCAAAACAAGGACAUUGAUGGGAUGUCACAGAGUAACUGGUUAGGGCCUGAGCCAGACCGACACAGAGAAGACAAAACAAAAACCCAAACAGUAGGAGAAAAAACCGCUACGAGAGACCCGCCCGGCAGAGCCUCACACACCCCUACUGGGGCGGAGGGAGGAAGGAGUGACUGAGCCUGCCAGGAAAAGAAGCCACUGGACCAGAAAACAUGGGGCGCUAACUUCAGUCAGUUCUCCACGACUAAGCUAAGGGCCACCAUUUUGUGGGUGCUGCAAAAUGGCAAGGUUUGGGCAUAGAUCAGACAAGAGAAUUGAUAGGAUUUGGGGGAAAACAAAAAACCCUCCUGCAGCCAUCUGCCCAGUCGCUGCGAUUGUUAAUAAGUGACAGUUUAAUGAGUGCUUACUGUGUCCAAGGCACAUGAAGGGCUUUCACUUCGACAUUAUAAAGAACCCAAGGCUCAAUGAAGUGGACAACCUAUAGCGGGGACACAAGAUGCCCUUUAAACCCUGCUGAGAGAGUAAAACCAUUGUAACGACUUGGCAUGCAUGGGUCAUUCUGGCCCUCAACACAAUAUGCAAUGCUCAAAUUCAACUGUUAGCCUGUGUUCUUCCCAUUAGUAAAUCACGUAUUUUGACUAAAUAAAUGGAGUUGGUU